rnacentral:misc_RNA from 1 species
GAUGAAGAACGCAGCGAAAUGCGAUAAGUAGUGUGAAUUGCAGAAUUCCGUGAACCAUCGAAUCUUUGAACGCACAUUGCGCCCGCUGGAACUCCGGCGGGCACGCCUGUCCGAGCGUCAUUUCAACCCUCAGGCCCCCCUUCGCGGGCGGGCCUGGUGUUGGGGCCCGGCCGCUACCCUGCGGCCGUCCCCUAAAUUCAGUGGCGGCCUCGCCGUGAUCCCUUGCGUAGUAAUGCACCUCGCACCGGAGAGCGCCGUGGCCACGCCGUAAAACCCCCAAUUUUCAAUGGUUGACCUCGGAUCAGGUGGGAAUACCCGCUGAACUUAAGCAUAUCAAUAAGCGGAGGA